rnacentral:rRNA from 1 species
AGAGUUUGAUCAUGGCUCAGGACGAACGCUGGCGGCACGCUUAACACAUGCAAGUCGAACGAGAGAAGAGGAGCUUGCUUUUCUGAUCUAGUGGCGGACGGGUGAGUAACACGUGAGCAAUCUGCCUUUCAGAGGGGGAUACCGAUUGGAAACGAUCGUUAAUACCGCAUAACAUAAUUGAACCGCAUGAUUUGAUUAUCAAAGAUUUAUCGCUGAAAGAUGAGCUCGCGUCUGAUUAGCUAGUUGGUAAGGUAACGGCUUACCAAGGCGACGAUCAGUAGCCGGACUGAGAGGUUGAUCGGCCACACUGGGACUGAGACACGGCCCAGACUCCUACGGGAGGCAGCAGUGGGGAAUAUUGCACAAUGGGGGAAACCCUGAUGCAGCGACGCCGCGUGAGCGAUGAAGUAUUUCGGUAUGUAAAGCUCUAUCAGCAGGGAAGAUAAUGACGGUACCUGACUAAGAAGCUCCGGCUAAAUACGUGCCAGCAGCCGCGGUAAUACGUAUGGAGCAAGCGUUAUCCGGAUUUACUGGGUGUAAAGGGAGCGUAGGCGGUCCUGCAAGUCUGAUGUGAAAGGCCGGGGCUCAACCCCGGGACUGCAUUGGAAACUGUAGGACUAGAGUGUCGGAGGGGUAAGUGGAAUUCCUAGUGUAGCGGUGAAAUGCGUAGAUAUUAGGAGGAACACCAGUGGCGAAGGCGGCUUACUGGACGACUACUGACGCUGAGGCUCGAAAGCGUGGGGAGCGAACAGGAUUAGAUACCCCGGUAGUCCACGCCGUAAACGAUGAAUACUAGGUGUUGGCAGGCAAGGCCUGUCGGUGCCGCAGCAAACGCAAUAAGUAUUCCACCUGGGGAGUACGUUCGCAAGAAUGAAACUCAAAGGAAUUGACGGGGACCCGCACAAGCGGUGGAGCAUGUGGUUUAAUUCGAAGCAACGCGAAGAACCUUACCAAGUCUUGACAUCCCGGUGACAGAACAUGUAAUGUGUUUUCCCUUCGGGGCACCGGUGACAGGUGGUGCAUGGUGUCGUCAGCUCGUGUCGUGAGAUGUUGGGUUAAGUCCCGCAACGAGCGCAACCCUUAUCCCCAGUAGCCAGCAUUUCGGAUGGGCACUCUGUGGAGACUGCCAGGGACAACCUGGAGGAAGGUGGGGAUGACGUCAAAUCAUCAUGCCCCUUAUGACUUGGGCUACACACGUGCUACAAUGGCGUAAACAAAGGGAAGCGAGACCGCGAGGUGGAGCAAAUCCCAAAAAUAACGUCCCAGUUCGGAUUGUAGUCUGCAACUCGACUACAUGAAGCUGGAAUCGCUAGUAAUCGCAGAUCAGAAUGCUGCGGUGAAUACGUUCCCGGGUCUUGUACACACCGCCCGUCACACCAUGGGAGUCGGAAAUGCCCGAAGCCGGUGGCCUAACCGCAAGGAAGGAGCCGUCGAAGGCAGGUCUGAUAACUGGGGUGAAGUCGUAACAAGGUA